UACGUAGGGACCGAGCGUUGUCCGGAAUCAUUGGGCGUAAAGAGCGUGUAGGCGGCUUGCUAAGUCUUGCGUGAAAUCUCGGGGCUCAACCCCGAGCGGUCGUGGGAAACUGGCAGGCUAGAGUGCGGGAGAGGAGAAUGGAAUUCCUGGUGUAGCGGUGAAAUGCGUAGAGAUCAGGAAGAACACCGGUGGCGAAAGCGUUCUGCUAGACCUGUACUGACACUGAGGGACGAAAGCUAGGGGAGCGAAUGGG
rnacentral:rRNA from 1 species